GCUACACCCCCUGGACAGGACGCUCAAUCACCUCCUUAAUGUUGAGUUCCACAUCCUUAAUGCAGAGUUCCACGUCCUUAAUGUUGGGUUCCACAAUGCUGAGUUCCAAGUCCUUAAUGCUGAGUUCCACAAUGUAUGUUCAGUACUCAGCAGUCUCCGCCCCAGUUCGCCCAGCAGCAGCAGACUAACGGGGCGCGGCCAUGUACAACGGCAACGGAAUGAAACACAACGUCUCAAUGGCAACCACAGCAAGCAUGGGUCAGAUGGCUGGACAGAUGGACAUCACCUCACCUGAGAUCACCUCCAUGGGACAAGAACCGAAAUACUGCUAACCCUGGUGGAGCGUUCAGCCAACCAGCACCUUGAUGCUAGUACCCAGGAUCCAAUGAGCUCGCUGGUUCAUCUUCAACCUAUCAACCAACGGCUCUUUGAAUGGACCUGGCAGUGUCCUGACCCAGCUCUACCCAGCCCAACCCGAUCUCCAACCUCACCCACCUGGCAUAAACUGUGCCUCUUAUCUGCCCCUACUGGGAGGCCCAGGGGUGAGGGGGGGGGGGGUGAUAGAGCAAAGAUGGGACUUCUAUUGGACUUCAGAGCCAGGGCCCUGGUCGAAAGCACCGCACCACACAGAGUUUAGGGAGGCAAGCCUAAAAUGCCUCUCUAAAGGAGAACCCGUGAGCCUGUCUGUCUGUCUGUCUGUCUGUCUGUCUGUCUGUCUGUCUGUCUGUCUGUCUGUCUAGCCUGCAUUCCUGUUAGUGUGACUAACGCUAGGUUCAUGACUAAGUGGAAAAGGCAGACAUACCAGUUGGACGUGCUUUGAACUCGUUGAGAAAUGCUGAUUGGCCAAUAAGCUACGUCAAACCAUCAACUUAAAAGUACAGCUUUGUAAAACAAAUUAUAACGUUCAAAAACCUUUUUAAUAGAUUUCUUUUUAUAAAUAAUGUUUUGUUGCAUUUAAACUGCCAUGAAAAGCGCUUGUUAUCGAGGUCGUUUCCUUAGUAGUGACGUCAGAGGUCGGCAUGUGGGAGAAGUAGGAGCUCAGGGAUGAUGGAUGAGUCUACCACUAGUUAGUUUACCGCCAGUUUGAGGGGUGUUUCCUUAGUAGUGACGUCAGAGGGCGGCAUGUGGGAGAAGUAGGAGCUCAGGGAUGAUGGAUGAGUCUACCACUAGUUAGUUUACCGCCAGUUUGAGGGGUGUUUCCUUAGUAGUGACGUCAGAGGUCGGCAUGUGGGAGAAGUAUGAGCUCAGGGAUGAUGGAUGAGUCUACCACUAGUUAGUUUACCGCCAGUUUGAGGGGUGUUUCCUUAGUAGUGACGUCAGAGGUCGGCAUGUGGGAGAAGUAGGAGCUCAGGGAUGAUGGAUGAGUCUACCACUAGUUAGUUUACCGCCAGUUUGAGGGGUGUUUCCUUAGUAGGUGACGUCAGAGGUCGGCAUGUGGGAGAAGUAGGAGCUCAGGGAUGAUGGAUGAGUCUACCACUAGUUAGUUUACCGCCAGUUUGAGGGGUGUUUCCUUAGUAGUGACGUCAGAGGGCGGCAUGUGGGAGAAGUAGGAGCUCAGGGAUGAUGGAUGAGUCUACCACUAGUUAGUUUACCGCCAGUUUGAGGGGUGUUUCCUUAGUAGUGACGUCAGAGGUCGGCAUGUGGGAGAAGUAGGAGCUCAGGGAUGAUGGAUGAGUCUACCACUAGUUAGUUUACCGCCAGUUUGAGGGGUGUUUCCUUAGUAGUGACGUCAGAGGUCGGCAUGUGGGAGAAGUAGGAGCUCAGGGAUGAUGGAUGAGUCUACCACUAGUUAGUUUACCGCCAGUUUGAGGGGUGUUUCCCUGUCGUUUGUGGUAAAUACCACUUUCCCACUUGGUUAUUGACGCAGAGUUACUGUAGACCCCUUCCCAUCUACUGUAUGACUAUAGGCCCCUCCCCCUUCAAAAAGGUCCCUCCCCCUCUGGGUGAUUGACAGUAGGCCCCUCGCUCUUUGCCUGGAGGCCCCAUAGAGGCUCCUCCCCCUCUGGUUUGACUGACUGACGACUGGUGGCAGCAGUGGGAUCCUCCUCAGAUGAAUGUAUUCUUUAGUGGUCAGCUGCCAUUUUUACAAUCUCAUCUCAAGAAAAUGUCAACUGUUAUUUUUUUUUUUUUUUUUUUCACCUCGCUUUGAUCCCCCACUUCUUCUUCGGGUUCCUCUCACGUUCCAACCCAUUCUACCUUCUAACGUUUUCUGCGUUCCACAAUGGCAGCAAACUGUGACUGUGAUGUUACGUUUUGGAUCCUGGAGGACAGCGGAGGGAGGGAGUGGAACAGCUGACUUCUUUUUGUGUAGUUUUGUUUUUGUUUUCGUAAAGACGAUGAUGAGUGAAAGCUGACGAGAAAUGGUUUGAAAACCGAUCUUGGAAAGUAGAUGAAUGGUUUGAUUUAAAGUUAUUAUUUUGUAUUAUAAUUAGAGACAUUUAGUCAAAAGGUUUAUAGUGUAUUAAAUUAAGUUUUAUUUUUCUGUAUAGAUUUUUUUUUUUUUUUUAUGUUAGAUUUAUUAUCGUAGCAAAACAAGAUGAUUAUUUGUAAAUCGGUGGAAAGUGAGUAAAAAUAACCUGUUUUGUCAUACUCUUAUCAAUGUGAAAUAAUAUGGAUUUAACUUUGGUCUGGUAGUUUCAUCAGAAGAUAUUGAAAUCAUAUUAUACGGUUCAAGGAAAACCAAAUACAGACAGAUUGUACAUACAAGUUAACAACAGAGUUCCAUUUCCUAUUCAUCGUGGGUUUUGUCCCUGUCUGGUCUGGACUACCAUCUGCUAUAAGAGAAGAGUGGUGUGUUUUGUCCCUGUCUGGUCUGGACUACCAUCUGCUAUAAGAGAAGAGUGGUGUGUUUUGUCCCUGUCUGGUCUGGACUACCAUCUGCUAUAAGAGAAGAGUGGUGUGUUUUGUCCCUGUCUGGUCUGGACUACCAUCUGCUAUAAGAGAAGAGUGGUGUGUUUUGUCCCUGUCUGGUCUGGACUACCAUCUGCUAUAAGAGAAGAGUGGUGUGUUUUGUCCCUGUCUGGUCUGGACUACCAUCUGCUAUAAGAGAAGAGUGGUGUGUUUUGUCCCUGUCUGGUCUGGACUACCAUCUGCUAUAAGAGAAGAGUGGUGUGUUUUGUCCCUGUCUGGUCUGGACUACCAUCUGCUAUAAGAGAAGAGUGGUGUGUUUUGUCCCUGUCUGGUCUGGACUACCAUCUGCUAUAAGAGAAGAGUGGUGUGUUUUGUCCCUGUCUGGUCUGGACUACCAUCUGCUAUAAGAGAAGAGUGGUGUGUUUUGUCCCUGUCUGGUCUGGACUACCAUCUGCUAUAAGAGAAGAGUGGUGUGUUUUGUCCCUGUCUGGUCUGGACUACCAUCUGCUAUAAGAGAAGAGUGGUGUGUUUUGUCCCUGUCUGGUCUGGACUACCAUCUGCUAUAAGAGAAGAGUGGUGUGUUUUGUCCCUGUCUGGUCUGGACUACCAUCUGCUAUAAGAGAAGAGUGGUGUGUUUUGUCCCUGUCUGGUCUGGACUACCAUCUGCUAUAAGAGAAGAGUGGUGUGUUUUGUCCCUGUCUGGUCUGGACUACCAUCUGCUAUAAGAGAAGAGUGGUGUGUUUUGUCCCUGUCUGGUCUGGACUACCAUCUGCUAUAAGAGAAGAGUGGUGUGUUUU